CAGGCAGCAGAACCCAGUGGGCAUGUGAUCCUCCUUCCUUGCUGACCAUGGUCCUUCUGUGUCUUCUGCAG
rnacentral:miRNA from 1 species